AUCCAGGAGAGAAUCCGGAAACCAAAUUUCCGUGUUAAAUCUGAAAUUUUUUCUAGAAAAAAGUCUGACAUUUGUAGUGCAUCCUGAGUCAGCUGUGCAAACUUUUGAGGAGAAUAAGAGCAUCUCCACCAAAUCAAAUCAGAAGGAAGAGAUUGGUGACUACCACAACAGUUUAAGAACUCAGUUUUGCAGUUCUGUUCCAAAAUGCCCAAGUCAGAUACAAAGCCAAAAGAGAUUAAGAAUCAACCUCCACCAGGAUAUCCAAAUGAAAACCAGACUAGUCCUGGUGGGAAAUGCUGCCCUAGAUCAAAAAAGAAAGGUGAUAGAGGCUUCAUUGAAGGAUGCCUCUUUGCUCUGUGUUGCUGUUGGCUUUGUGAAUCUUGCUUCUGAUGGAACUUAUUGGAUGGUUACAACAGGUGUAAUCAAACUAUAUUAGUAUUUUUAUAUUAAUCUGUUCCCAAUCGUGUAUCUUUUCCAGUAACAUUUUCUUGCCAAAUGUGUUCUUGGCUCUAAAAAUUCUCUUCUUGCAUAUGGAUUGUUAUUGAUGUCUAAUUUUUUACAAGUUUCCUGUGUAAUAAAACUGUAUUACUAAUUUCAUAUU